GUCAGGCGGGGCCACCCGCC
rnacentral:rRNA from 1 species